AUUGAACGCUGGCGGCAGGCCUAACACAUGCAAGUCGAGCGAGCGGCGGACGGGUGAGUAAUGUAUGGGGACUGCCCGAUAGAGGGGGAUAACUACUGGAAACGGUAGCUAAUACCGCAUACUAUCGGAUAACUCAUAGGGGAAUAGCUAGUAGGUGAGGUAAUGGCUCAACUAGGCAACGAUCCCUAGAUGGUCUGAGAGGAGGAUCAGCCACACUGGGACUGAGACACGGCCCAGACUCCUACGGAGGCAGCAGUGGGGAAUAUUGCACAAUGGGCGCAAGCCUGAUGGAGCCAUGCCGCGUGAGUGAAGAAGGCCCUAGGUUUGUAAAGUACUUUCAGUCGGGAGGCGUUACCGACAGAGGAAGCACCGGCUAACUCCGUGCCAGCAGCCGCGGUAAUUC
rnacentral:rRNA from 1 species